rnacentral:lncRNA from 1 species
AUGGGGCUAGGCAUAAGCCCUCAAGGCCCCCUCUCUCAGUGACCUCUUUCACCAGCAAGGCACUACUAGCUGUGGACCACUUAUUCAAACACUCUAGCCGUGGGGGCAUCUCAUGUGUGAAGAGCAGGAGUUAAUUGAACAGAUGGGAAAAUCUGUAUAUUCUGAGUGCAUGGUAUAUUCAUGUAUACUGCAGAAAAAUUAUUGUGGCUAUAGUGUAAAUUAUGCUGCCUCUCAUACAGACUUUCAUGGCUGGUAAAAUACAUUAGCAUUUAAUUUUUUUUUUUUUUGCUUAUUUUUAUGUUUGUGUCUGUGCUUAUGUGCACAUGCAUUUUUCCACCGCACACAUGUGGAGGUCAAAGGACGACUUAAGGGAGUCAGUCAGUCUCCUUCCACCAUGUGGGAUGCCAGUAUUAGACUGAGGUCAUCAGGCUUGGUAGCAGGCACCUUUAACCAUUGAGACAUCUCUCUGGCCCUAUAAGAACAUGUUUAAAGGCCAGAUACAGUGGUGGAAAAUACACCAUGACAAAUAUAAUAAUAUAUAUUACAUUUUUAUAAAUAAUUUAUUAUUAAAUUAUUAUAUAAUUUGUAUAAGUUAUAGAUGUGGAAAUAUCAAAAGGAAAUGACUGAAAAAUACUAAAGGAUAUGGUCUAGUGGUAAGAUUGUGGGCCCCUAGAGCCCCAAGUUCUAACCUUUUGAACUUUAUGCUUACAAUGUCAAAUGUCAAACAUACACACAGAGAAUCAGAGUCACAUAUGCUUGUAUAUUCGAAGAUUCUGAAUUUUAACCUUUCAAGCGGUUAAUAUCUUUUUUUUUUUUUUGAGACAAGUCUCUGUGUGUAGUCUUGGCUAUCCCUUGAACUUACUGUGUAGAGUAGGCUAGCCCCAAACUCAGAGAUCCGCCUAUUUCUGCCUCUUGAGUACUAAGAUUAAAGGCAUGCAUCUCUACACCCAGCCAAAUGAAACCAUUUUUAUAAUUAUUAAUUGCUUUCUGUUAUGACCAGGGAGUCUGAAAUAUGAAUUGGACUUUGUACAUGUAACCUGAGAAACAUUUUUAUUCCCAGAUGCCAAGCUUGCCAGUAGGGAGAAGGGAAAGUUUUGCUUCAAGGCAGUAAGAUGUAAACAAAAAGAAGGUAAAGUUGUUUUGCUCUCACACUUUCCUAAAUGUCCAUGUUAUAUCUUAUAGCAGUGAUGUGAUUAAUUUGUUUUCAUGUGUGUGUGUGUGUUUUUUAAGGUGGUAUACAGUCCUCAGAAAAAUACACCUUUGCAGAUAUCAUCUUUGGAAAUGAACAGGUAUGCAAUGAUGCACAGUAAUAUUUGAUAUAAAAAUUUUAGUUUUCAAGUAUCUAAUUUGAAAAAAACUGUGACAUCACUAAUAGCUAUCUCUGAAAAGUGAGUAUCUGAACCUUAUUGAGUUUUAUACCCACCUUUUAUCCGUGAGAUAACCCAAGCAUGCUAUAUGGAUAAACUACACCACUUUACUUAAAGCUUACUUCUUUUGAAAAUAUCCAGUAAGAACAGUAAUUGAGAUCGUAGAAAAAUUGUAGUUACUUGAGGAAGCUGUUGUGUUUAGGAAAGGGGCCAUAGUACAGCUUAUUGCCUAGAACCCUCGUUUCUAAGUCAGCUUCAGAUUCUUUUCUCAUGCUGUCACCUUCAAUUUUGGGCAUAUCACAUGGUUCCAAGACCUAGAAACAUUGGAUGCAUAGGCUGUCUAUGUCUUAGAAUUGGAAAGUUUUCAUAACACUUGAACAUAUAAUACAUGAGUCACCUGGAAGCAGUGCUCUUCAGUGUUAAGUACGCAUUGUGGAUCUUGUUACGAUGCCGUUAUGCUAUCAGGACUGUGGUGGAAGCUCAGGUUCUGUGUGGUUGUCCGUUCCUGAGAGAUAGCUGUAGUAGCUCCGUCUUUAGAACUUAGGUUUGAAUAUCAAGAUGUAGAGACUUGUUUUUAGGAUACAGGCUGUUCUUCUCCACUUGUGAAGCUCUGUUAUGAUCUGCAGUAGAGUUUGAGAAUAUGAUUUUUAAAAUUUUCUUGAAGACACGGUAUCCUGUAGUUCAGCCUGGCUUCAAACUCCUGAUGUAGUCAAGGACCUUGCACUCGUCAUCUGCAAGUCUCUACUUUCUGAGUGCUGGGAAUGCAGACUUAAGUCACCAUUGCAUCCCUGUAUUUAUUAGUUAGGGUCUCAUUGCUGUGAAGAGACACCAUGACCAAGACAACUCUUACAAGGGACAACGUUUAAUUGCAGCUGGCUUACAGGUUCAGAGGUUCAGUGCAUUGUCAUCAAGGUGGAAGCAUGGCAGCAUCUAGGCAGGCCUGGUGCUGGAGGAGCUGAGACUCAUGUUCCAAAGGCAAACGUGAGAAGACUGGCUUCCAGGCAUCUAGGAAAACGUCUCUCAAAGCCUACUCCUGCUUUUACUCACCCCACCCCCACCCCCACACUUCCUCUAACAAGGCCACACCUUCUAAUAAUGCCACUCUCUGGACCAUGCAUAUUCAAACAACCACACCUAUGUGACCAUGCCUGGUGGGGUUGCAGCCCUAUGUUACCCUGUCUGGCUUUCCAUGGAGAGCUGGAGGUUGAACCAGAGCUUUGGGUAUUAUAGGCUCUCACUGUACCAACUGAGGUAUGCCCCUAGUUUGGACAAAAUGCAUUAACAUUUUGUUCAAAUUAAUUUAGUUCUGUGUGUGAUCACAUACAUUGCUUGUGUGCAUGUGUGUGGCAUGGUGGGUGUGGAGCUUAGAGAGAGGAUCACUUUCUGGAGUCAGUUCUCUUUCCCUGUGUUGAGACAGGCUCUCUCCCUUGUGUCUGCUGCACUCCAUGUUCCCAGACUGUCUGGCCUACAAGUUUUGUACUGCUCCUUUCUGGACCUUUACUUUUCUAUAAGGGUCACUUUCUGCUGGGCUCUAGUGCGCCACUUCAGGUCAUCUUUUACUAUUGAACCAUCUUUCUGUCCUAUGCAUUUUUAACCAGCCCCGCCGUCAUCUGGAGAGGUCGACUACUGAGCCACACUGUCAUCCUGAAUGACAGUGCUGUUUAUGAAAUUACUUCUUUAUGCUCUUUAACACUUCCGUACAUGUCUAAAGUAUUGCAUUUCUCUGAUUGGAGCUUUCAUGUGACUUUCCUUCUGUGACAAUAUUUAAGAAAGCAGAUGUUUAAGGAAUGAAUGUCUCAAAGCUACAAAGGCCCAAUCAUUAAAGAGCAUGUGUGACUUUAAAUGUUAGAGUUAGCACUAUUUCAGGUUCACACCUACAUCCUUUCCUCAUUUCUUUUCCUUUGUUUUUCUUUCUUAUUUUUGUUUUUGUUUUGUUUGUGAUUCUGGGGUUGAACCCAGGACAUUCCUAUGAUAAGUAAGCAUUCUGCCACUGAGCUACAUCCCAGCUCACUUGUUACUUUUAGAAGGGGCUUGCUAAGUUGCCUGUGCAGGGAUUAUUGGCCCAUGCCACCACACCUGGUGGGUCAAUUCUUAAUUUUAUUUUAAAAGAAUUCAAAUUUCUAGAAGCAUCAGUAGGAACCUUUUUUUGAAGUAUUUGAUUAAAUAACACCAAGUAUUACAGAUUUAGGAGAAAACUAUGAUGAUGAUAUUUUACC